rnacentral:rRNA from 1 species
GAUGAACGCUGGCGGUCUGCUUAACACAUGCAAGUCGAACGGUGAACCCUCGGGUUCAUAGUGGCGGACGGGUGAGUAACACGUGAGAAUCUGCCUCCUGGCGGGGACAACAUGGGAAACUGCUGCUAAUACCCUAUGUGCCCNAGGGUGAAAGAUUAAUUGCCUGGAGAUGAGCUCGCGUCCAAUUAGCUUGUUGGUAGAGUAAAAGCCUACCAAGGCUCCGAUCGGUAGCUGGUCUGAGAGGAUGAGCAGUCACACUGGGACUGAGACACGGCCCAGACUACGGGAGGCAGCAGUGGGGAAUUUUCCGCAAUGGGCGAAAGCCUGACGGAGCAAGACCGCGUGGGGGAUGAAGGCUCUUGGGUUGUAAACCCCUUUUCUCAGGGAAGAAGAACUGACGGUACCUGAGGAAUAAGCAUCGGCUAACUCCGUGCCAGCAGCCGCGGUAAGACGGAGGAUGCAAGCGUUAUCCGGAAUUAUUGGGCGUAAAGCGUUCGUAGGUGGCUGUUCAAGUCUGCCGUUAAAGACCGGGGCUUAACUCCGGAAAAACUGUGGAAACUGAACAGCUAGAGUAUGGUAGGGGUAAGGGGAAUUCCUGGUGUAGCGGUGAAAUGCGUAGAUAUCAGGAAGAACACCGGUGGCGAAGGCGCCUUACUGGGCCAUAACUGACACUGAGGGACGAAAGCUAGGGGAGCGAAAGGGAUUAGAUACCCCUGUAGUCCU